AGGAAGAGGGGCAAUUACACCACCAAAGAUGACAUCUUACUAUGCAAUACUUGGUUGCAAGUGUCGAGGGAUCCAUCCGUUGGAGGUGAUCAAAGUAGAGACGCUUAUUGGGGGCGAAUGAAAGAACACUUUGAUGCUCACAACGUGAGUGGAAUUGACCGCUCCAAGAGAUCACUUUGGUCCCGAUGGUCGACAAUCAACUCGGAUUGUCAAAAGUGGGCGGCUGCACAAAAGGCAGUUGACAAGAUUAACCCAAGUGGCACAAAUGAGGAUGAUAGAAAAACUUGUUCAAAGAAGAGGUGA
rnacentral:rRNA from 1 species